GAAAGGCGUGCUAAUACCGGAUGGUAUCUUUGUUACUUCGGUAACGAAGAUCAAGGGUGGCCUCUUANUGAAAGCUACUGUUUGAAGAUGAGCCCGCGUACCAUUAGCUAGUUGGNGAGGGUAAUGGCCUACCAAGGCGACGAUGGUUAGCUGGUCUGAGAGGAUGAUCAGCCACACUGGAACUGACACACGGUCCAGACUCCUACGGGAGGCAGCAGUGAGGAAUUUUGCGCAAUGGGGGCAACCCUGACGCAGCAACGCCGCGUGAGUGAAGAAGGCUUUCGGGUCGUAAAACUCUGUCAAGUGGGAAGAACCUGCAAUAUGCCAAUACCAUAUUGCACUGACGGUACCACUGAAGGAAGCACCGGCUAACUCCGUGCCAGCAGCCGCGGUAAUACGGGGGGUGCAAGCGUUAUUCGGAAUCAUUGGGCGUAAAGGGCGCGUAGGCGGCCAGUUAAGUCAGAUGUGAAAGCCCGGGGCUCAACCCCGGAAGUGCAUUUGAAACUAAUUGGCUUGAGUAUGGGAGAGGGAAGUGGAAUUCCUGGUGUA
rnacentral:rRNA from 1 species